rnacentral:rRNA from 1 species
GAGGUAUUUUGACUGUGCUAAGGUAGCGAAGUCAUUAGUUUCUUUAUUGGGAACUUGUAUGAGUGGAGUAAUAGGUGCUUUUAUGAAUUGAGCUUAAAGUGAAUUUGAUUUUUCUAAGAAAAGUUAGAAGUUUUCCUAAAGACGAGAAGACCCCAAAAUCUUUAUUUUAAUUUAUAGGAUUUAAUUUUUAUUUGGGGGAAAGAUUGAUUUUUAUUUAUUGUUUUAUUAUUGCGAACUUUUUUAGGGUGUAUGGAUAGAUACUUUGGGGGUAACAGGAUUAUUUUCUUUUGAAGUUCUUAUUUUAGGGGAAGUUUAUUACCUCGAUGUUGGCUUUUGA